rnacentral:rRNA from 1 species
UGCAGAAUCCCGUGAACCAUCGAGUCUUUGAACGCAAGUUGUGCUCGAAGCCAUUAGGCUAAGGGCACGUCUGCUUGGGUGUCACGC